rnacentral:rRNA from 1 species
UCCAGACUCCUACGGGAGGCAGCAGUGAGGAAUAUUGGUCAGUGGCCGGAAGGCUGAACCAGCCAAGCCGCGUGAGGGAGGAAGGCGCAGAGCGUCGCAGACCUCUUUUGCCGGGGGACAAAAGGCCGGACGGGUCCGGUUCUGAGGGUACCCGGAGAAAAAGCAUCGGCUAACUCCGUGCCAGCAGCCGCGGUAAUACGGAGGAUGCGAGCAUUAUCCGGAGUGACUGGGUGUAAAGAGCUGCGUAGGUGGCAUAAUAAGUAGCUAGUGAAAUCUGGUGGCUCAACCAUUCAGACUAUUAGCUAAACUGUUAAGCUCGAGACCGUUAGGGGUAACUGGAAUUUCUAGUGUAGGAGUGAAAUCCGUAGAUAUUAGAAGGAACACCAAUAGCGUAGGCAGGUUGCUGGGACGGUUCUGACACUAAGGCACGAAAGCGUAGGGAGCAAACGGGAUUAGAUACCCCGGUA